rnacentral:lncRNA from 1 species
CCACUGCUCCAUAGCACUCGAGAUGUGGAGCUCCUCUCAAAUGUCUUUUUUCUUAUAAAGAAAAAAGUCAAAUUUAAGCAUCUCACAACCGUAUCUAUUAAUCGAUGUGUUAUGGUGACUACCAGUUAAUAACAAGCUUCACUCCAGCUAGCAUGCACUUAAACGUAGAUGUAAAACAGUCGUGUUGUUUCAUUGCACUCUUCUCGAGUUCUAAAGCAACGAACAUCUGAGCUGAGAGCAGAAGCACGUACGUGUCCUAGAAGUCACGCACGAGACCCCU